rnacentral:rRNA from 1 species
AUUGAACGCUGGCGGCAUGCUUUACACAUGCAAGUCGAACGGUAACAGGCCGCAAGGUGCUGACGAGUGGCGAACGGGUGAGUAAUGCAUCGGAACGUGCCCAGUCGUGGGGGAUAACGCAGCGAAAGCUGUGCUAAUACCGCAUACGAUCUAUGGAUGAAAGCGGGGGACCGUAAGGCCUCGCGCGAUUGGAGCGGCCGAUGUCAGAUUAGGUAGUUGGUGGGGUAAAGGCUCACCAAGACAACGAUCUGUAGCUGGUCUGAGAGGACGACCAGCCAACCUGGGACGGAGACACGGCCCAGACUCCUACGGGAGGAAGCAGUGGGGAAUUUUGGACAAUGGGCGAAAGCCUGAUCCAGCCAUGCCGCGUGCGGGAAGAAGGCCUUCGGGUUGUAAACCGCUUUUGUCAGGGAAGAAAAGCCUUGGGUUAAUACCCUGGGGUGAUGACGGUACCUGAAGAAUAAGCACCGGCUAACUACGUGCCAGCAGCCGCCGUAA